rnacentral:rRNA from 1 species
AACAAACGCUGGCGGCGUGCCUAAUACAUGCAAGUCGAACGGGGAAAGCUUUCGGGUGAGUACUAGUGGCGCACGGGUGAGUAACGCGUGGAUAAUCUGUCUUAGAGUGGGGGAUAACUAGUCGAAAGAUUAGCUAAUACCGCAUAAGACCACAAGAACUGCGGUUCAAGAGGUCAAAGGUUUUUCGCUCUAAGAUGAGUCCGCGUAAGAUUAGCUAGUUGGUGAGGUAACGGUUCACCAGGGAAACGAUCUUUAACUGGUCUGAGAGGAUGAUCAGUAACACUGGAACUGAGACACGGUCCAGACUCCUACGGGAGGCAGCAGUAGGGAAUAUUGCACAAUGGAGGAAACUCUGAUGCAGCGACGCCGCGUGAGUGAUGAAGGCCUUCGGGUCGUAAAGCUCUGUCGCAGGGGAAUAACACAAUGAAUGUACCCUGUAAGAAAGGAUCGGCUAACUUCGUGCCAGCCGCCGCAGUAAGAC